rnacentral:rRNA from 1 species
ACGGCCACAUCACAUUGAAACACCGGCUCCCGUAUGAUCACUGAAGUUAAGCAACGUCGAGUCUGUUCAGUACCUAGAUGGUGACUGCUUGGAAAUACCAGUUGCUGUCGG